rnacentral:rRNA from 1 species
GACGAACGCUGGCGGCGUGCUUAACACAUGCAAGUCGAACGGAAAGACCCUGCGUUUGUGGGGUGCUCGAGUGGCGAACGGGGGAGUAACACGUGAGUAACCUGCCCUUGACUUUGGGAUAACUUCAGGAAACUGGGGCUAAUACCGGAUAGGAGCUCCUGCUGCAUGGUGGGGGUUGGAAAGUUUCGGCGGUGGGGGCUGGUCUCGCGGCUUAUCAGCUUGUUGGUGGGGUAGUGGCUUACCAAGGCUUUGACGGGUAGCCGGCCUGAGAGGGUGACCGGCCUCAUUGGGCCUGAGGUACGGACCAGACUCCAACGGGCGGCAGCAGUGGGGAAUAUUGCGCAAUGGGCGGAAGCCUGAUGCAGCAGCGCUGCGUGCGUGAUGCCGGCCUUCGGGUUGUAAACCGCUUUCGACUGUGACGAAGCGUGAGUGACGGUAAUGGGUAAAGAAGCACCGGCUAACUACGUG